rnacentral:rRNA from 1 species
AUGUCAGACCUCGAUUGGGCGUUGAAGAUGGAUAGCAGCAGGGGGGAGGAUACCAUGCCGAGGGAGGUCACCAAGGGGAGGCGAAGGGGGGUACACAUGGCCACUGCACGAGAUGGUUGCGCGGCAUCGCUUCCCUACGAGAUGAUCAUGGAGGUGCUGCAGUGGCUCCCCAUCAAAUCUGUCUUCCGCUUCCGGGCAGUUUGCCGCAGCUGGGCUGCGCUGCUAUCUUCUGACGAAUUCCGCCGCCUCCACAUGGCAGCAGCUAAGGCCGCAAGGCGGCCGGCACCACCAGCCAAGCUGAUGUACAUCUCGCCUACCGCCACAUUCGACUCCACCACAGUCUACUCGUGUUCCUUCUCGCGGUCAUCAUCAUCAGGCCGCCCCAGAGAUCGCGGGGACUUACUGUUCACCAUCGAAGGUGCCCGUGGCAACUGUGUGGAAGUAGUGACGCCCGCACCGUGCCAUGGCCUCACGCUUCUCUAUGAUGCUCUCGACACGGCCUACUACAUCUGCAACGCGGCCACACGGGCUGCCACGCGUCUGCCGCCUUCCGCUGUACGAGGAUCCAAGUCCACUGCUGGGCUGGGGUUUGAUGCCCACACAGACGAGCACAAGGUGGUCAGGUUGAUCAAUGGGUUGGUUCAUGAGAGAGACUUGAAGUUGGUGAGGUGCGAGGUGUACACGACUGGAGGCCGUUUUGGGGAUUGUUGGAGGCCUGCCGCCGGAGGAGUACCCUCCAACCUGCGUGAAUUUGCACGUGCCGCUGUUAGCAAUGCGUGUACCAACAAAUUAUCUCCUGUGUUUGCCAAUGGUUGCCUGCACUGGUUGAUGAACCCUUCCUAUUUCAUCACGACUCCAAGUGUUGCCAUCAUGUCCUUUUCGGUUGCAGAGGAGACCUUCGCAUGUAUCCGGUCACCGCCCUUCUGGGUACCAGGAGCGCCGCCGGCCUCCUGGUUGGCCUCAUCAGGAGAGCAACUAAUGGAGAUGGAUGAGCAACUAUGUUUGGUUCGCAACAGAAUCCCUCAUGGUAGUAACACUUUGGAGAUCUGGAAACUGCUGGACUAUAGCUCUGAUGACUGGUUACUGAAUCAUCGAAUUCAUUUGUCGGGGCACCUGGCAAGAGAUUUGCGUCAGUCACAAAUUUUGAGAGUUAUUGGAUCUUUUCGUAGUUACAGGUCACCAAGGAAGAAGAUAAUCAUCACUACUAGCAUGCACAAGAUUUUCAACAAGUAUCAGAAAAUGGUUCACACCUAUGACCCUAGGUCUGAGGCUCUGGAAACCAUUCUUUCAAUCACGGAGACACACUCAAUUCCAGAAUAUGCUUGUCCUAGUUCAAGAUUCGGUUUCAUUCAAGAGACCCUUGCUCCCGUGCAUAGAACAGAUGAAGCCUUGUCAUCUGACCUGGCAAAGGUGACUCGAGAGAUCCUACUCCGCCUCCCAGCUAAAUCAGCCAUACAGUACAAAUUUGUCUGCAAGAAGUGGUUCAGAUUGAUUGAGAGUGAAAACUUCAUUCGGUCAUACUUUCAGCAUAAGAACAUGGACAAAAGACCUAAGUUCAUGCUUGUGGUCAAGAGCACUGGACAGUUGAGCUUCAGUUUCGCUCCAUUGAAUAAAUGCCUCCAAGAAGCUCCUAGUCACAGUACAUUGCUUGAUACGAAGGUGGUUUGCUCUAAGCCUUGCCAUGGGCUGAACUUGGUAAGCACCGAGACGAAGGACUAUCUCUGCAAUCCAUGUACAGGUUUCCACAGGGUUUACCGUAACCUGGGGCCAAAUUUGCACCUUCCCUCGAGAAUGCCUAAAGCAGAAGAGCAUGCUUUUACAGUCGGCAAUAAAAAUGUUGGCUUGACUUUCAGCCCUUCGACUCGUCAACAUGUUAUCGUGGAAAUCUUCUAUCACCGGAAGGACUUCAAAUCUCGUCAGUAUGACAUGACAUGCGCGUUAUACUGGUGUAACUCUUGGAGUGCUGCCCAACAGAUCUCGGUACCUCCUCUGCCUGUGAAUGAUAUGCCACCGGCCUAUGUUGAAGGAAUGCUGUACUGGAUGAGUGAACCAAGGUUGGGACAGUGCUGUGAAUGGGCCAUUGUCUCAUUCAACCUUGCUAAAAGAACGUUCGAUGUCGUCCCGUGUCCUUCGUGGUUUGCAAGAUGGAAUAGCAGAAACAGCUGUCGUGCAUUUGUUGUUGAGCUUGAGGGAGUAUUAUGCGCUGUCCUAGCAGAUCCAGUGGCAGACAUAUUAGAUGUAUGGAAGCUAGAGCAUGGCCAAUGGGGCAGAGCAUACACAAUUAACCUGGAAGCAUGUCCUGGCUAUUCCCUCAAGACAAGUAUUGUGGUGCCAUUAGCUGUUGGUCCUGAUCAUGGGAGGAUCCUGCUCAACACUGGGAGGAAAAUAGGUCUAUAUGAUCCAGUAGAGCAAACAAUUCUAAAUCUGCAUUCACUUGAUCAGGUGCAGCUUGCCAGUAGUCCACUUCUUGAUAUGCCUUCAACUUCUUCAGGGAAUAGUUUGACAUGCUCCAAAGAAGAGUUAGCGGCGGAGAUGAAUAGAAUGGACUCUGAAAUUAUUCCUUUUGUUCCUAUGUUAUAUGAGGAGAGCCUAGCAUGUUACUCCAGUGUGCGCAAAGCAAAAAUGCUGUGGAAAUGA